GCAGAGUAGAAAAACAGGCGUUAAGUGUUUGGCAGACGGGGAGUUGCUGCCAAGACGAAAAACCAUUACGGUUUGCGGUCUGUUUUUCGCAUCCCGCUGU
rnacentral:ncRNA from 1 species